GGAAGUGAGGCUGAACCUGAAGCAAGGAGGAAUGCUAAGGUCGAACUGGUGCUCACGUCCCGGCUUUCAAUUCACGCAUUCACACCUGGAGGCCCCCCUCCGGGGACCAAGUGCGGAAGUUCACCGUCUGCCAUGGCUGAACCGCACUGGAGGGCAACACGGUGUUAAUUGCUGGCAGAGGGAUAUUAAAUGCGGUCUUUCCAGGAGAACAAAUGGUGGAUCAUUACACCCAAAUAUUUACAAGGUGCUUCUAGUGGUGAUGCCAUGGAGGAAGAAGAAAAGGACUGUGUGACUGAAUAACGUUUUUAAACAUUAGCGCAGGCUGAGUAGAGGAUACUGCAGAGGGAACUGUCCACCACCAUGCUGCACGCCCGCAGUGAAAACUCAGUGAAAAUGAGGAACGAUGGUGGAUGAAAGCCAGCAGGAGAGAGGCUGCCUUUGUCAGAGGAGACAGCUGAUUCGGAUACCACACCGUAGCUCCUAACGAGAGCCCCCGUGGGCCGGGAGCCUCUGGCAACACUUCAAGGUGACUCGAUUUACCCUAAAGUGCCAUACAUAAGGACCACCGUGAAGAUGUAAAUAAUGAAAAGUGGAGAAAAGUGCAAAGAACUCUGACAUUACAUAGGUGAAGAUCUCCAUAUUUCAACAGAACACGCUGAGGAUUUCUUGUUCGCUAUGUAUGAAUGUUUCAGAGAUCUCCCAUGCAGGCGGCAGCGGGAUGCUUCUAGGUGAGGAGGCGAAAUCACGGCUGAAAUUCUGCUUUCUGAAUCCACAAACAGCCCGGGAACGACUUGGGCAUGGGAAAUGAAUGAGGCAUGCUCACCCUGCCCUGAAAAAAACAUCUGGGAUGGUGCCAGAAUACAUUUGGGAAAUGAACAAGGAUGUCUUGAAAUGAUGCUCUAACAUGCUUCAUGUACAAGUCAAGCUACAGAAACAUGUUUCUUACAUAAAAAGUGUAUGAACAACACGAGGGAAGCACGUUGGAGGUUUUUCUUUUUUGGAAUGUGCAUUUGCCUCUGCGGUUGCUUGUUUCAACCGUCAACAAAUUCUGAAGUAUUUUCUGCAUCAAGAGAUGUGCAUAUUUCCUUUGAUUACUGCCUUCCAAGCAAAAAGAUUAUGCUUACUUUUGACUGUUUUCUUAUCUUGAAACCAGCUGACUAGUUUGAAUUACACUUUCCGUUUAACCAACAGGACAAUUAAUUACCCGGAAAAUCCCUAGUACGGUCAUAGGUUACAUGCACAAGUUGAUUUAGCAAGUAAAUGAUUGCAUCCUCUCUGGGUUUUGACGGGCAUACUUGCAGAUACCCUGUUUAAAGGUCACACCACAUCCUCCUCUACAACCAGUUUAAAUUAGUCUCAGAUCUCCCCAAAACAUGUCUGUGAAGUUUAUUGUUCCAAAUCCACUCUGAUCCUGUGUUUGAUCAUGCCAAUAAAACCCUCUAUUUCAGCCCUGCUCAGAACAGGCUGUUUCUGUGUCUGUAUCUUUAAAUGUAAAUGAGCUGUGUCUGAC